AGCCUGAUGCAGCCAUGCCGCGUGUAUGAAGAAGGCCUUCGGGUUGUAAAGUACUUUCAGCAGUGAGGAAGGGGGUGUCGUUAAUAGCGGCAUCUCUUGACGUUAGCUGCAGAAGAAGCACCGGCUAACUCCGUGCCAGCAGCCGCGGUAAUACGGAGGGUGCGAGCGUUAAUCGGAAUUACUGGGCGUAAAGCGCAUGCAGGUGGUUUGUUAAGUCAGAUGUGAAAGCCCGGGGCUCAACCUCGGAACUGCAUUUGAAACUGGCAAACUAGAGUACUGUAGAGGGGGGUAGAAUUUCAGGUGUAGCGGUGAAAUGCGUAGAGAUCUGAAGGAAUACCAGUGGCGAAGGCGGCCCCCUGGACAGAUACUGACACUCAGAUGCGAAAGCGUGGGGAGCAAACAGGAUUAGAUACCCUGGUAGUCCACGCCGUAAACGAUGUCUACUUGGAGGUUGUGGCCUUGAGCCGUGGCUUUCGGAGCUAACGCGUUAAGUAGACCGCCUGGG
rnacentral:rRNA from 2 species